GACGAACGCUGGCGGCGUGCCUAAUACAUGCAAGUCGAACGAACCGCGACUAAGUGCUUGCACUAAGUCAAGGUGAGUGGCGAACGGGUGAGUAACACGUGGGUAACCUACCUCAUAGUGGGGGAUAACAGUCGGAAACGACUGCUAAUACCGCAUAGGACAUAGGAUCACAUGAUCCAGUGAGGAAAGGUGGCGCAAGCUAUCGCUAAGAGAUGGACCCGCGGUGCAUUAGCUAGUUGGUAGGGUAAAGGCCUACCAAGGCGAUGAUGCAUAGCCGACCUGAGAGGGUGAUCGGCCACAUUGGGACUGAGACACGGCCCAAACUCCUACGGGAGGCAGCAGUAGGGAAUCUUCCGCAAUGGACGCAAGUCUGACGGAGCAACGCCGCGUGAGUGAAGAAGGUCUUCGGGUCGUAAAGCUCUGUUGUUAGAGAAGAACAGCGCAUAGAGUAACUGCUAUGCGUGUGACGGUAUCUAACCAGAAAGCCACGGCUAACUACGU
rnacentral:rRNA from 1 species